CCCUUCCUUUAUCCCAGUAGGGCCCAGACCCGCGCAACCAGGCGGGGAGGGGAGGUGGGCGCGCGAUUGGGUUGCGAUCUGGAGCGGUGGGGACAGGUCAGGAACCGGGGCGUAUUUCUGCAGUGAGACCCUAGGACGGACAUCGGCGCCUUCGGCUUCGAUGGAGUUGCGAUUUUGCUCUUUCCAGGGAAACAGUGGCAGGGUGUUUGCUGCUUGUCGGUUCCUGCGGAUAUGCCUGGCUCAUGGGUCCCAGGACAUUCCACUGGAGGCUUGGACUGCAUUUAGGAGCCCCUAUCCCUUCCCUGUCCACACUGUUAUUGAGCAAUUUCAUAUGUUUGCAUUUAGACCCAUAGACUCAGAACGACUCAUCACAAACACACACAGUGUACACUCACAUUCGCACACUUAGGUAUACAGCCUGAUCCUUGCUCUGACCCGGUAACAACGCUUCCUCCUCCAGAGACUUUGAGAUAGAGCGAGCGAUCCGUGUGCACCAUUCAUCCAUGCUCCCACCUCGCCAGUAUGGCUGGCUUGUUCUGGAAGGGGCUUAAGAGGAACAAGCCCCAGCUGUGCUUCUGGCUGGGACUUAAGCCCCCCUUCUGGGCCCUAACGCCACGCUUCUUUGUGGACCGGACCUGACUCUCCAGGAACCUGGGAACCCGCUAUUUCACUCUACUUUGGGACAGGAAAAAGGGUAUCUUUGGGGCCACUUCCUGCCUUCCCCUCAAGUAGGAUCUCCAGCCUGCAGAGGGUGCCUAGUCCUUCUUUGCCCAAGAACCAGCCCAAGAAGCCUUUCCUCUGUGCCUGGGAAAUGCAACUUUUUCUUGGGAGCAUGGUAAGGUGUUGGUGCUGAAGAACAAAGCAGCGACCCUUCUUGCAGCUGCCAUGUUUUGUCGAGGGGUUCUGGGGGUCCUGCUGCUUUAGGGCCACAUACUUCCACUUCCUGAUUCACUACUGUGAGCUGGUCAGAUGCCUAGAAGAGGAACAAGCGUUCAAAGUGAAAGUGGGCACAUUACCGGAAUAGUGCUGGGGAGAGUGCUGGAUUCUUUUCCACCCCAGGCGCACUGGUGAGAAGCCAGGCUUGGACCUGUCCUCUGUUCCUAGCUUGCACAGUCAGCCCUAAACUCAGAGCAGCAUGCAUACCACCCCCCACACACACCCCAC
rnacentral:antisense_RNA from 1 species